rnacentral:sRNA from 1 species
UGAUGUUUCUGUUGAUCUGAGUAUUCUGAGCAUUCGUGAAGGCAGACCAUACUCUCUGA